rnacentral:rRNA from 1 species
UUGACCUCGGAUCAGGUAGGAAUACCCCGCUGAACUUAAGCAUAUCAAUAAGCGGAGGA